AUUGAAUCAUGGCCUUUUGGCUAAGAUCAAGUGUAGUAUCUGUUCUUAUCAGUAUAAUAUCAUCUUAAAGGAAAUAGACUACUGAGUGUCAAUGGGACCAUAGCUAUGAACACACAUAUGUAUGACCCUAA
rnacentral:snRNA from 1 species